UGGCUCAGAUGGUAAAGCGUCUGCCUGCAAUGUGGGAGACCCAGGUUCGAUUCCUGG
rnacentral:tRNA from 1 species